rnacentral:misc_RNA from 1 species
GAUGUUGGUAUCAGGGUUAAGAGAUUUGAGCUUUGCCCGGAGAGUAUGAGAGAGUAUAUUCCGUGUUUGGAUAAUGUGGAGGCGAUUAAGAGGUUGAAUUCGACGGAGAGAGGUGAAAAGUAUGAACGGCAUUGCCCGGAGGAAGGGAAAGGAUUGAAUUGUUUGGUCCCGCAGCCGAAAGGCUACCGACAGCCAAUUCCGUGGCCGAGG